GACGAACGCUGGCGGCGUGCUUAACACAUGCAAGUCGAGCGAUGAAGUUCCUUCGGGAAUGGAUUAGCGGCGGACGGGUGAGUAACACGUGGGUAACCUGCCUCAUAGAGGGGAAUAGCCUUUCGAAAGGAAGAUUAAUACCGCAUAAGAUUGUAGCUUCGCAUGAAGCAGCAAUUAAAGGAGUAAUCCGCUAUGAGAUGGACCCGCGUCGCAUUAGCUAGUUGGUGAGGUAACGGCUCACCAAGGCGACGAUGCGUAGCCGACCUGAGAGGGUGAUCGGCCACAUUGGGACUGAGAAACGGCCCAGACUCCUACGGGAGGCAGCAGUGGGGAAUAUUGCACAAUGGGGGAAACCCUGAUGCAGCAACGCCGCGUGAGUGAUGACGGUCUUCGGAUUGUAAAACUCUGUCUUCAGGGACGAUAAUGACGGUACCUGAGGAGGAAGCCACGGCUAACUACGUGCCAGCCGCCGCAGUAAGAC
rnacentral:rRNA from 1 species